rnacentral:tRNA from 3 species
GGCCGUGUGCCCGAGUGGUUCAGGGGCUCGACUGCAAAUCGAGUUACGUGGGUUCGAUUCCCGCCACGGCCUCCA